rnacentral:rRNA from 1 species
GCAAGUCUGGUGCCAGCAGCCGCGGUAAUUCCAGCUCCAAUAGCGUAUAUUAAAGUUGUUGCAGUUAAAAAGCUCGUAGUUGAAACUUGGGCCUGGCUGGCAGGUCCGCCUCACCGCGUGUACUUGUCCGGCCGGGCCUUUCCUUCUGGAGAACCUCAUGCCCUUCACUGGGUGUGUUGGGGAACCAGGACUUUUACUUUGAAAAAAUUAGAGUGUUCAAAGCAGGCCUUUGCUCGAAUACGUUAGCAUGGAAUAAUAGAAUAGGACGUGCGGUCCUAUUUUGUUGGUUUCUAGGACCGCCGUAAUGAUUAAUAGGGACAGUCGGGGGCAUCAGUAUUCAAUUGUCAGAGGUGAAAUUCUUGGAUUUAUUGAAGACUAACUACUGCGAAAGCAUUUGCCAAGGAUGUUUUCAUUAAUCAGUGAACGAAAGUUAGGGGAUCGAAGACGAUCAGAUACCGUCGUAGUCUUAACCGUAAACUAUGCCGACUAGGGAUCGGGCGAUGUUCUUUUUCUGACUCGCUCGGCACCUUACGAGAAAUCAAAGUUUUUGGGUUCUGGGGGGAGUAUGGUCGCAAGGCUGAAACUUAAAGAAAUUGACGGGAAGGGCACCACCAGGCGUGGAGCCUGCGGCUUAAUUUGACUCAACACGGGGAAACUCACCAGGUCCAGAUGAAAUAAGGAUUGACAGAUUGAGAGCUCUUUCUUGAUUUUUCAGGUGGUGGUGCAUGGCCGUUCUUAGUUGGUGGAGUGAUUUGUCUGCUUAAUUGCGAUAACGAACGAGACCUUAACCUGCUAAAUAGCCAGGCUAGCUUUGGCUGGUCCGCCGGCUUCUUAGAGGGACUAUCGGCUCAAGCCGAUGGAAGUUUGAGGCAAUAACAGGUCUGUGAUGCCCUUAGAUGUUCUGGGCCGCACGCGCGCUACACUGACAGAGCCAACGAGUUCUUCACCUUGGCCGGAAGGUCUGGGUAAUCUUGUUAAACUCUGUCGUGCUGGGGUAGAGCAUUGCAAUUAUUGCUCUUCAACGAGGAAUGCCUAGUAAGCGCAUGUCAUCAGCAUGCGUUGAUUACGUCCCUGCCCUUUGUACACACCGCCCGUCGCUACUACCGAUUGAAUGGCUCAGUGAGGCCUUCGGACUGGCUUGGAGAGGUUGGCAACGACCACUCUGAGCCGGAAAGUUCGUCAAACUCGGUCAUUUAGAGGAAGUAAAAGUCGUAACAAGGUUUCCGUAGGGAACCUGCGGAAAGGG